UGGAGUUUAGCUCAGUUUUGGUAGAGCAUUCAAUUUACACUUGAUAGGUCAAAGGUUCGAUCCCUUUAACUCCAA
rnacentral:tRNA from 1 species